ensembl:lncRNA
UGCAGAUAUUUAUUUACACAUACAUCUGCAUUGCAUAGACUUUUAGAAUUUGAGCCAAGGGCUGGGAUCAGGGACAAGGGGCUAUGAGGACAGGAAGGGGCUGCCCAACCUUAACUGCACAUCCUAUUACUGCAUCAUUAUCAUAAUCAUCACCAUUAUUAUUUAUUUAUUUAUUAUAAUCAUUAUCAACAUCAAGACAACUGUUGGACUGUUCCCAAGUCACGCGAGAAGUAAAAAACUGAUCAGCAUCAACAUGGGUACAAAGAUUGGCUUGGAUAUGCAGUUUAUCAUGAAGAACAUUCAGAAUCUCAGUACACUAAUAUGAGCACUUGAUACCUCCACUGACUGUUCUGUCUUAAUACAACCCGACCUUGACCCUUAACCUGAGUUCUUAACAGACUAAUCCCACAACCCCGACAACAGUUGAUGUACAGUUGUUAAGGGACAUUUCAGGGUUUUGUCAUUGCUUCCCCAGAGUCAGAAGAUCUAAUGGAUACCAUUUCAAGUCUCCACAUCCAAUAAGAAUGAAGUCAGAGGUAGUUUUGCAAGCUAAUAAUAACUAGCUAUAGCGCAAUGACUGCUCUAAAACUAUGUAACAGUGGUGCUUGUUAGCAACUUGCUUCUAACUGCACGCAGAUACAUAAGAAUGGUAUCCACAAAUUAGCCUGACUGUUGGGAAGUUCAUCACGAAGAAUCCCCUGAAGUACAUUCUGGAUUAGACAACAUUUUUGUAAUUGAGAAUACCUGAAAUCUGAUCAGUCUCACCAUUAAGUCCCUAUGGAGUUGAUAGGAGACUGUGGACACUGGAAGCCUUAUUGGGUGUUGCUGCAUAACAGACUAACAUGAAAUUAGUAAUGUUUCAAAUUACUGUCUGAGACCACAGGGGCUUUGUCAGGUUCCAGUCCACUUAGUAUCUCUGUGGUCACCUAAAGAACAUAUAUUUGAGCUGAUCUGUAAUUGCAUCACCAAUGGUUAAGAAUGUUAAUAAAAUAAAAAGGAAAACAGCGAAUUGAUAAAAUGAUAGAAAUAACAGGAUAAAAAAAUGGGGUUAAAAACCUGAGGAUUGGCUAGGAACUGUACAAACACGAGCCAACCACUUUCUCCUCUGUAGCUGUUACUUAAUGCUAGUUCACAGUGUUCACUGUUUAUUAUUCACAGCACAACAGAGUAUAGACUUGUUUCUCUCUGUCGUUACCUCAUCAAAACAUUUUGAGAUUAAAGGCGCUAACAUGGCCAAGCUCUCUAAAUACAUGGCUUUGCUUAUCAUACAAGCAAUGUGCUGCUCCUCACAACAGAAGACCCAAUGGACUGGCCUUAUACACCUAGUGUUCUGUCUGUAUCCAUAACAACACCUAUUCAGACAUCUGUCAUCCACAUAUCAGGAAGUGUACAUCGGACUCCUCCCACUCCAUCUGUCUCCACCUAGUAAAACAAACUAAGUAAAAUUGACAAUUCAGAGAGUAUUGUAAGGAAAAAGUACCUUGUUGUUUUUACAAAUAUUUCUAUACAUUUAUAUAUAAUUAAUUAAUACAAAUACACAAAUUAGUAUGAACAUAGUGAAAUUGUAAAUCCUCCCCAUCCAUACUUUGCCACAGAUUUUAAAGGGAAAUGACCCAGUUUAAGUAAGACACAACAGACUACACAGUCAUUACACUCAGUGAGCAGGGCUGUCAAAAGUAUAUUUUCUGUGAGAAGAAAGCUUAGCUAGGUUCAAAACAGCAUAGCUGUGACAACAUGGGGUUAAGUCACUAACAACUCU